ensembl:lncRNA
CCUGCAGGACACUCUGUACAAACAUCCGCUGCCCUGCGAUGUCGGGUUUCAGCUUCCUGUUCAGUGCAGAGGAAGGCUGGAGGUCAGACCACUCAUUAGAAUGAGACAUAUGACAACAUGUAGCACCUUUACUGACAUCUACAAUCAUAAAGUGAGUAUAAGCUCAAGCUGAAACAACAUAGUAUUAUAAAAUAGCAUGAACAUAAUUCAAUAUGUACAGAUAUGUUAAAACAGUAACAGUGCAUUAUGCAUGUGUUUUUUUUGUUUUGGUUUUUUUUGGAAAUAUCCUUGUGGAAACAUGUAGCAAAUAUUAAACAACAAUCUCCUACUGAAACUAUUGACACUUUUUGUUUCUAAAACCACUAAGUUCUGCCAACACAAUAGAAAAUGUGGUUUAUCGGGUUUAAAAUCAGGUUUAAAUAGCUUUAAAGUCAAAAUAUUAACAUUUAAAAAGUGCAACAGUACCUAGCUGGACACAUUUUAUGAAGACAAAUAUUUUAUUUAAUAAAAUCAGUAAAUAAGUAUUUUUGAGUCCCAGGAAUGGAGCAGAAUUGUUAAGAAACAGAUUUUUGUAUGAAGCUGGAUAGAGACCUGACUGAAUUAUAUACAUUUUCUCCUAGCUAAACUGUUCCUUGAUUUAAAAGGUUGACAGUAAUAACUUGUGUAAAUGGAAAUAAAGCCAACCCCGGCACGAAAUGAGACUAAUGCUAAAUAAGAGAAUAAGGAAAUAUUGAAUAGAUCCAGUACCUUCCAAUCAAUGCUGUCACAACCUCCUCCAAAUGUUUUUCACUCUUUUGUUUCUCUUGUCUUAUUGCCCUUCUUUUAGCUCACUGUUUCCUCCUCUGCUCUCUUCCUGUCAUUCUCCUCCCUUUUUCUAGUUUUCUUCAAGCUAAAGUGCCACUCCAGUGAAAACAUACAGUGAUACACACCAUAAAUAUCAAAUUACAUCAUCACUUGUACUAAUCUGAUCUUUUCCAUAUGUAUGUGAUGUAGAAAACUUGUAAGCCUUGACAUAUUAUAUUAUACAGAGUGAGGAAUAUUAUAUACAUUUAGGCACAUAAAAGAUAUACAAGUAAAGCUUGUGCACACACAAAUUUCUCUCAAAAUCAUCUCCUCAUGAAAACAAUUGGUUCUUUUGUACGUUACACAGUCUCUCCAGUCCUGUGCUGUAUUUCCACCUGAACAUCAAACAGUUUGCAAUAGAAAAGGUCAUCUAUAGCUCAUCUAUACUUAAACACACACACACACACACACACACACACACACACACACACACACACAAAUGCAUACACUACUUUUUCCAGUUGUACCUUUUUGUGUCUGUGUGUAAAAGAGAGACAUGUCAUAAAAGAGGAAAAGGUAGAAUGAAUCAAAC